rnacentral:rRNA from 1 species
ACGGAAUAGAUACCCGGGUAGUCCACGCCCUAAACGAUGUCUACUAGUUGUCGGGGAUUCAUUUCCUUGGUAAACGCAGCUAAACGCGUGAAAGUAGACCGCCUGGGGAGUACGGCCGCAAGGUUAAAACUCAAAGGAAUUGACGGGGACCCGCACAAGCGGUGGAUGAUGUGGAUUAAUUCGAUGCAACGCGAAAAAACCUUACCUACGCUUGACAUGCCAGGAACUUUCCAGAGAUGGAUUGGUGCCCGAAAGGGAACCUGGACACAGGUGCUGCAUGGCUGUCGUCAGCUCGUGUCGUGAGAUGUUGGGUUAAGUCCCGCAACGAGCGCAACCCUUAUCCUUAGUUGCUACGCAAGGGCACUCUAGGGAGACUGCCGGUGACAAACCGGAGGAAGGUGGGGAUGACGUCAAGUCCUCAUGGCCCUUAUGUGUAGGGCUUCACACGUCAUACAAUGGUCGGUACAGAGGGUCGCCAACCCGCGAGGGGGAGCCAAUCCUAGAAAACCGAUCGUAGUCCGGAUUGCAGUCUGCAACUCGACUGCAUGAA